rnacentral:rRNA from 1 species
GCGGGAAGCGAGUGGAUCCCUUCGGGGUGAAGCUCGUGGAACGAGCGGCGGACGGGUGAGUAACACGUGGGCAACCUACCUGUAAGAUCGGAAUAACCCCGGGAAACCGGGGCUAAUGCCGGGUAAUACUUUUCUUCGCAUGAAGGAAAGUUGAAAGAUGGCUUCUUGCUAUCACUUACAGAUGGGCCCGCGGCGCAUUAGCUAGUUGGUGAGGUAACGGCUCACCAAGGCGACGAUGCGUAGCCGACCUGAGAGGGUGAUCGGCCACACUGGGACUGAGACACGGCCCAGACUCCUACGGGAGGCAGCAGUAGGGAAUCUUCCGCAAUGGACGAAAGUCUGACGGAGCAACGCCGCGUGAACGAUGAAGGUCUUCGGAUCGUAAAGUUCUGUUGUUAGGGAAGAACAAGUACCGUGCGAAUAGAGCGGUACCUUGACGGUACCUAACGAGGAAGCCCCGGCUAACUACGUGCCAGCAGCCGCGGUAAUACGUAGGGGGCAAGCGUUGUCCGGAAUUAUUGGGCGUAAAGCGCGCGCAGGCGGUUCCUUAAGUCUGAUGUGAAAGCCCACGGCUCAACCGUGGAGGGUCAUUGGAAACUGGGGAACUUGAGGACAGAAGAGGAGAGUGGAAUUCCACGUGUAGCGGUGAAAUGCGUAGAUAUGUGGAGGAACACCAGUGGCGAAGGCGACUCUCUGGUCUGUUUCUGACGCUGAGGUGCGAAAGCGUGGGUAGCAAACAGGAUUAGAU